rnacentral:misc_RNA from 1 species
CGCACAUUGCACCUUUUGGUAUUCCGAAAGGUAUGCUUGUUCGAGCGUCGGAUACUGUAUAUCAAUUUUAUUAUUGAUGUAUUGAGGGCUUUGAUAUUAUCAAACCUUCCAAAGUCAUUGCAGCAAUCUUAUCUGAUUACUAUUGAACGCAUUAAGUUUAUCUACUCGUGCAAGAAAGUCAGUAAGGUUAGCCAAAAACCAAUCAAUCGUAUUCAAACGACCUCGAAUCAAGUAGGAUUACCCGCUGAACUUAA